rnacentral:rRNA from 1 species
GAUGAACGCUGGCGGCGUGCCUAACACAUGCAAGUCGAACGAUGAAGGCGGAGCUUGUUCUUCAGGAUGAGUUGCGAACGGGUGAGUUACGCGUAGGUAACCUGUCUGGUAUCGGGGGAUCUCCUUAUGAAACGAUAUCUAAUACCGCAUGACAAUAGUUAUUCCAUGAUAAGCGUGCAUAAGGUGCAACUGCUCCUCUACUAGAUGGUCCUGCGUUGUAUUAGCUAUAUGGGGUGGGAACGGCUCACCAACGCGACGAUACAUAGCAGACCUCAGAGGGUGAUCGGCUACGCUGGGACGGGAGCACGGCCCAGAAUCCUGCGGGAGGGAGCAGUAGGGGAUCUUCGGCGAAGGACGGAAGUCUGAACAUUCAACGCCGCGUGAGUGAAUGAGGUAUUCGGGUCGUGAAACUCUGUUAUGAGUGAAGGACGUAUAUGAGUGUGAAAAGUUCACACUGUGACGGUAUCUGACGAAUAAGCGACGGCUAACUACGUG